rnacentral:rRNA from 1 species
GGAGGCAGCAGUGGGGAAUAUUGCACAAUGGGCGAAAGCCUGAUGCAGCGACGCCGCGUGAGGGAUGACGGCCUUCGGGUUGUAAACCUCUUUCAGCAGGGAAGAAGCGAAAGGACGGUACCUGCAGAAGAAGCGCCGGCUAACUACGUGCCAGCAGCCGCGGUAAUACGUAGGGCGCAAGCGUUGUCCGGAAUUAUUGGGCGUAAAGAGCUCGUAGGCGGCUUGUCACGUCGGGUGUGAAAGCCCGGGGCUUAACCCCGGGUCUCUAGGSYGGCUAGAGUGUGGUAGGGGAGAUCGGAAUUCCUGGUGUAGCGGUGAAAUGCGCAGAUAUCAGGAGGAACACCGGUGGCGAAGGCGGAUCUCUGGGCCAUUACUGACGCUGAGGAGCGAAAGCGUGGGGAGCGAACAGGA